GACGAACGCUGGCGGCGUGCCUAAUACAUGCAAGUUGAGCGCUGAAGGUUGGUACUUGUACCAACUGGAUGAGCAGCGAACGGGUGAGUAACGCGUGGGGAAUCUGCCUUUGAGCGGGGGACAACAUUUGGAAACGAAUGCUAAUACCGCAUAAUAACUUUAAACACAAGUUUUAAGUUUGAAAGAUGCAAUUGCAUCACUCAAAGAUGAUCCCGCGUUGUAUUAGCUAGUUGGUGAGGUAAAGGCUCACCAAGGCGAUGAUACAUAGCCGACCUGAGAGGGUGAUCGGCCACGUUGGGACUGAGACACGGCCCAAACUCCUACGGGAGGCAGCAGUAGGGAAUCUUCGGCAAUGGACGAAAGUCUGACCGAGCAACGCCGCGUGAGUGAAGAAGGUUUUCGGAUCGUAAAACUCUGUUGGUAGAGAAGAACGUUGGUGAGAGUGGAAAGCUCAUCAAGUGACGGUAACUACCCAGAAAGGGACGGCUAACUACGUG
rnacentral:rRNA from 1 species